rnacentral:sRNA from 1 species
AUAAAGGUUUCUAUUUUACUCACCAUCUAGAUUUAUUCAUAUCAUAAUUGGUGAGAAAAAACCAUUUGCCUGGUGUUGGCGCAGUAUUCGCGCACCCCAACUUCGGU